rnacentral:tRNA from 1 species
ACUUAUGAAUUAUGUUUGAUUUGAAAUCAAGUUGAUUGCUUUUGUUAGCAACAUAGGUU